rnacentral:piRNA from 1 species
UGAUCAACAGAGAAAGGAUAUCUAUUCGG